CCUUCUGCCACGUGUACGUGGACGUCCACCUUUCCCUGGUUGGUGAGGUGGUGUAUAGUUCUGGAGAUCUUCCACAUGCAUUGUCAAUGUUGUCAUUUCAUCGAUCAAGCCAGACAUGUUUUGUUCAGUCCUGAAGGCAUAGUCGUGCUGAUCAUGCUGCAUUUGGCGUAGGAGUUGCAUCAUUUCAGUUUGCUGAGCUCCCAUGGUUUGGAGAUAUAGGUCUUGUUG
rnacentral:lncRNA from 1 species